AGGACAAACGCUGGCGGCGUACCUAAGACAUGCAAGUCGAACGAGGUUUCCGGCUUCGGUUGGAAAGCGAGUGGCGAACGGGUGAGUAACACGUAGGAACCUGUCAUUCAGUGGGGGAUACCGCUGGGAAACCGGCGCUAAUACCGCAUACGGUCCCGGAAACGGGAGCAAAGCCUUUCGAGGCGCUGAAUGAGGGGCCUGUGGCCGAUUAGCUCGUUGGUGGGUAAAGGCCUACCAAGGCGACGAUCGGUAGCUGGU
rnacentral:rRNA from 1 species